GACGAACGCUGGCGGCGUGCCUAAUACAUGCAAGUGGAACGGAGAAAUGCUAAGCUUGCUUUGCAUUUCUUAGUGGCGGACGGGUGAGUAACACGUGAGCAACCUGCCUUUGUGAGGGGAAUAACGUCUGGAAACGGACGCUAAUACCGCAUAACGUCAAGGAACCGCAUGGUUUUUUGACCAAAGAUUUUAUCGCACAAAGAUGGGCUCGCAGCUGAUUAGCUAGUUGGCGGGGUAACGGCCCACCAAGGCGACGAUCAGUAGCCGGCCUGAGAGGGUGAACGGUCACAUUGGGGACUGAGACACGGGCCCAGACUCCUACGGGAGGCAGCAGUGGGGAAUAUUGCACAAUGGGGGAAACCCCGAUGCAGCGACGCCGCGUGAA
rnacentral:rRNA from 1 species